rnacentral:rRNA from 1 species
AUUGAACGCUGGCGGCAGGCUUAACACAUGCAAGUCGAGCGAGCGGCGGACGGGUGAGUAAUGUCUGGGAAACUGCCUGAUGGAGGGGGAUAACUACUGGAAAAGGUAGCUAAUACCGCAUACCAUCAGAUGUGCCCAGAUGGGAUUAGCUAGUCGGUGGGGUAAUGGCUAACCUAGGCGCCGAUCCCUAGCUGGUCUGAGAGGAUGACCAGCCACACGGGAACUGGGAAACGGUCCAGACUCCUAGGGGAGGCAGCAGGGGGGAAUAUUGCACAAUGGGCGCAAGCCUGAUGCAGCCAGGCCGCGUGUUUGAGGAAGGCCUUCGGGUUGUAAAGCACUUUCAGCGAGGAGGCUUUACUCGCAGAGGAAGCACCGGCUAACUCCGUGCCAGCCGCCGGGUAAUAC